UAUUGCGUGGUGCAUGGUUCAAGCAUUGCGAAUAAUUUCGGCUGCCUUCGUACGGUGUUCGUAAUCCUUCGGUCGUGUCCGGGGUACAUCGGAGGGAAUCGGCUUGGCGGGUAGUUUCACGAUCGCGUGGCUUCUGUCCGGCUUCCAGUCUAUAGAUUUCGCUCCGUCGUGAUACGUCGUAACGCGUGUGUUGUCAAAUUUUCAAAAUUUUUUUUUAAUAAUUAAUUAAGUGACAUUAUUUGUGAGUGUUUCUACUUUCCCCAGUUCAUCAGCAUGGACAUGUACACGAUGGUUGAGGGUGAUGCUCAUCUUUUCAUCAGUUCUUCAGAAUUCUUCUCAGGGAUCACAAUCGCGCGUUACGGUGUUUAAGAACGGUGCAGAGAGAAGUAUGCGAAAAAGAUCGAUAAUCGAGGAGCACCCGAACGUUUCUCGACGCGAACUCAUCGGCGGACAAGGAAUUCUUUCGAGGGUCCGAAAGUUCGCAAAUUGCGGACGCAGUUAAGCGAAACUCGCAGGGGUAUGCGAUGGAAAACAUGGUCGCAAAUGGCCGACAAGUGGUUGCAACCAAAGUGUCGCCGUUAAGAAGUUAAUCGCAGUCAUGUCGAACGAGACUAACGCGACGGACGAUUUUCUCGACUACGACAUCAACGAGUCGUUCAGCUUCUUCGACUGGACGGAAUUGGCACCCACGCUAGUCGUCUACUCCCUCACAUUUUUCCUCGGUUUGAUCGGAAAUGUUGUCAUCAUCGCUUCUACGUUGUGCCCGAGAUUGAGACCCUUACCAGCUACACCAACCAACGUCUUCCUCGGCGGUUUGGCUACGGCUGACCUUUUGCUUAUAACUUUCUGCAUUCCUGUAAAGAUCGCCAAGCUGUUCUCUUACACGUGGACUAUGGGCCUGUUCCUAUGCAAGUCGGUGCAUUAUAUGCAGAGCGUAUCGGCUAUUUGCUCGGUCGUCACGUUAACCGCAAUGUCGAUCGAAAGGUAUUACGCCAUUGUUCAUCCAAUGAGGGCACAAUACACCUGCACUAUAAGCCAAGCCCGUAAAAUAGUGAUUAUAACUUGGGUGGCAUCGUUCCUUCUUGGUAUUCCAAUGAUUUUCACUCAGACACACAAAGUGGUUGGAUUAAGGGUGAUCGCUUACUGGUGCGUUCGGGAUUCGGAUGCAGGACUUUUAUGGCGUGCACACGAAGUUUACAUGCUCGUGUUAGUUCUGGUGUUGCCUUUAACGGUUAUGGCGUUUUGUUACACCGCUAUUUGUUGGGAAAUUUGGCUAGUCAUGAAACGGCGAUACCACAUGACGUCGCGUCACGCGCUGAGCCCGAACAAUGCUGAUACGGAAUCGAUACCCAUGACACAAAGGCAGAGCAUGCGGAACGGUCGUCGUACUUAUCGAGAAGACGGACAGACCGAAGAAGAAUCCCGCACGAUGAAACAGGUGGUGAAAAUGCUGGUGGCUGUGGUGGUGUUAUUCGCCAUCUGUUGGGGUCCAAUUCUUGUAGACAACACCCUCACCGCUUAUGGUUAUCUGCCGCGAGUGAAAACGGGAAUGCAUAAACACCUUAACACGGCGUUUCAGUUGAUGGCUUAUUUUAACAGUUGCAUAAAUCCGAUCAUCUAUGGAUUUAUGUCGAAGCACUUCAGGGAGAGUUUCUUAUCCGCGGCUUGCGGUGGUUGGUGGAUCUGUUGUCCCAGAAGAGGUUACAGGGCCCCGGUGAAGAGGCAUCCUAGCCUCAGCCAAACCAGGACGACCAGUGUCAGAUUGAUAUGGAUAAAUAUGUAUGAUACCCUGAGGCGGUAGGUACUGUGCACGCCAGUAAAUCAUAUACACCGCAAAAAAAUGCAUUGUAUGCGUUCGUUUAGUCGUGUAAUUUGCUGAUCAAAAAACAUUUAUUUCUGUCGUCGUUCCUCUGCCUUGGAUGAUGGACUUGAUU
rnacentral:misc_RNA from 1 species